rnacentral:rRNA from 1 species
UACGUAGGGUGCAAGCGUUAAUCGGAAUUACUGGGCGUAAAGCGUGCGCAGGCGGUUUUGUAAGACCGAUGUGAAAUCCCCGGGCUUAACCUGGGAACUGCAUUGGUGACUGCAAGGCUUGAGGUGUGUCAGAGGGAGGUGGAAUUCCGCGUGUAGCAGUGAAAUGCGUAGAUAUGCGGAGGAACACCGAUGGCGAAGGCAGCCUCCGUGGGAUAACACUGACGCUCAUGCACGAAAGCGUGGGGAGCAAACAGG